rnacentral:rRNA from 1 species
AUUGAACGCUGGCGGCAGGCCUAACACAUGCAAGUCGAACGAGUGGCGGACGGGAGAGUAACGUGUGGAAAACUGCUAGAAGGAGGGGGAUAACUACUGGAAACGGUAGUUAAUACCGAAAACCAGCGGAUGUGCCCUGAGGGGUUUAGCUAGUAGGUGGGGUAACGGCUCACCUAGGCGACGAUCCAUAGCUGGUCUGAGAGGAGGACCAGCCACACUGGAACUGAGACACGGUCCAGACUCCUACGGGAGGCAGCAGUGGGGAAUAUUGCACAAUGGGCGCAAGCCUGAUGCAGCCAUGCCGCGUGUAUGAAGAAGGCCUUCGGGUUGUAAAGUACUGUCAGCGGGGAGGCGUUACCCGCAGAAGAAGCACCGGCUAACUCCGUGCCAGCAGCCGCGGUAAUAC